rnacentral:rRNA from 1 species
AGAGUUUGAUCCUGGCUCAGAUUGAACGCUGGCGGCAGGCCUAACACAUGCAAGUCGAACGGAGACAUGUCUAGCUUGCUAGACGAUGUCGAGUGGCGGACGGGUGAGUAAUGCUUGGGAACUUGCCUUUGCGAGGGGGAUAACAGUUGGAAACGACUGCUAAUACCGCAUAAUGUCUUCGGACCAAACGGGGCUUCGGCUCCGGCGCAAAGAGAGGCCCAAGUGAGAUUAGCUAGUUGGUGAGGUAAAGGCUCACCAAGGCAACGAUCUCUAGCUGUUCUGAGAGGAAGAUCAGCCACACUGGGACUGAGACACGGCCCAGACUCCUACGGGAGGCAGCAGUGGGGAAUAUUGCACAAUGGGGGAAACCCUGAUGCAGCCAUGCCGCGUGUGUGAAGAAGGCCUUCGGGUUGUAAAGCACUUUCAGUUGUGAGGAAAAGUUAGUAGUUAAUACCUGCUAGCCGUGACGUUAACAACAGAAGAAGCACCGGCUAACUCCGUGCCAGCAGCCGCGGUAAUACGGAGGGUGCGAGCGUUAAUCGGAAUUACUGGGCGUAAAGCGCACGCAGGCGGUUUGUUAAGCUAGAUGUGAAAGCCCCGGGCUCAACCUGGGACGGUCAUUUAGAACUGGCAGACUAGAGUCUUGGAGAGGGGAGUGGAAUUCCAGGUGUAGCGGUGAAAUGCGUAGAUAUCUGGAGGAACAUCAGUGGCGAAAGGCGACUCCCUGUCCAAAGACUGACGCUCAUGUGCGAAAGUGUGGUAGCGAACAGGAUUAGAUACCCUGGUAGUCCACACCGUAAACGCUGUCUACUAGCUGUUUGUGGCUUUAAGCCGUGAGUAGCGAAGCUAACGCGAUAAGUAGACGCUGGGGAGUACGCGCAAGGUAAACUCAAUGAUGACGGGGCCGCACAAGCGUGAGCAUGUGAUAUCGAUGCACGCGAGACUAACUACCUGAAUGUGAAAGUACCAGAAUGUCCUGCUCGGAUUAAACAGUGCUGCAUGCUGUCUUCAGUCUGGUCUGAAGUUGGUGCCAGUCGUACACAGGCACUCUCAUUUAAGUGCCACG